rnacentral:rRNA from 1 species
CCUACGGGAGGCAGCAGUGGGGAAUAUUGCACAAUGGGGGAAACCCUGAUGCAGCGACGCAGCGUGAGUGAAGAAGUAAUUCGUUAUGUAAAGCUCUAUCAGCAGGGAAGAAAAUGACGGUACCUGAGUAAGAAGCCCAGGCUAACUACGUGCCAGCAGCAGCGGUAAUACGUAGGGGGCAAGCGUUAUCCGGAUUUACUGGGUGUAAAGGGAGCGUAGACGGCAGUGCAAGUCUGGAGUGAAAGGCGGGGGCCCAACCCCCGGACUGCUCUGGAAACGGUACGGCUGGAGUGCAGGAGAGGUAAGUGGAAUUCCUAGUGUAGCGGUGAAAUGCGUAGAGAUUAGGAGGAACACCAGUGGCGAAGGCGGCUUACUGGACUGUAACUGACGUUGAGGCUCGAAAGCGUGGGGAGCAAACAGGAUUAGAUACCCUGGUAGUC